CUUGUGACUCUAUCACAAGUGCACUCAUAAUCGACUGUAUAACAGUGUUGUAGAAUGUCCUAAAUCCAACUCUGCUGUUGGUCGCUCACUUUCCCAUACCUUUCCAUUCGCCUGCGGUACCACUCACUCUCAUCAAACUGGUUGACAGCAGGCGCUCUGCCGAAAAGGUUGUCCAUAUAUGGGGUAAGGGGAGAGACAACGACGGGUGAAAUAAAUAUGUAAAUACAGCAACAUUUCGGGUCUGCUCGUAUUUCGUGGUUUUUUGCGGAUUAUUGCUUGGCAUGCUAGCAGGAGUCAGGUUAAUUCUGUUUCAACCGCACUCGGGAACAGACUCAGUGCGCGACGUGCUAAUUUUCCCAAAGGUUCGCUGAAAGGGCGAGGUAAAAAUGUGUAGUGUGGUUUUUUUUAAAUAGUGUGUUUUGUUUAAUUACAGGUCUAGGGCUAGUAAAAAGAAAAGUUAGUAGUGUCAGUCGUGUUUAAAAAUUUCGUUAGUAAAAGUGGGUAGUUCGACCAAUUGUCACCCCAAACUGACGGUUGACUGUUACCGUGCAGAUAAUUCUAAAAGAAAAGGUCCACAAAGGGCCUUUUUCUUUUCUUUGGCAGCAUUUGUCCUGGAGCGAGCGCCAUUGUGU